CUCCAACAACUUAUGUAAAUCAACUUGGAGAGGUAAAAAAAAGAGAAAGGGUUGUAAAAAUUCGUUUCCAACAGAGACUCUAAAUCUAAAUUUGUGACUUCUGUUUCUCCUUCUCCAUCCCGGGAAAGCCGGUAGGCUUCUUUGCCUACUCCCCGCCGUUCUCCAUCCUGCCUUUCGCGCGCACCCGUCGCCCUCCGGCGCGCUGGUCUUGUUCCCGUGAGCCAGCAACCCUCCCGUGCCCGCCAUCGAGCCGCACAGGGAGGCGUGCCUCCGCCCGCCGUCGAGCUGACCAGGGAGGCGCCCCUCCGCCCGCCGUUGAGCCACCCAAGGAGGCGCCCCUCCGCUCGCCGUCGAGCUACCUAGGGAGGCGCGUCUCCGUCCGCCGUCGAGGAUCCCCGCCGUCCUCAUGUACAAGCCGCCGCGCUGGUCGAUGGCGGAUUAUGCGGCGAUUAUGUGGAAUCCUCCCUCCGCUACUGUUCCCUUUGGUCAGGAUGUUCUGGGAAGGUUCGAUCCGAAGGCCCGUCAAUCCAAUGGAGAAUUUGAUCCCUCCGGUGUCGGAUUGAUGCGCCGUCAAGUGGUUCCUCCCACAAGCAGCCUAAUCCAGUUGGUAGAUGAUUUGUUCGAACAUGAGGAAGAGGACGUGGAGGAGGCACACACCGGUAGGUUUCUGUUAUGACUAGAGCACCACUACACCAUCAGGGAACAAUAGCUAGUUUGCAGGAUCAGUUUAUACUUGGAAAAAGGUUUGUUUCAAUUGAUGCUUGCAAGUAGGUUUCUUGUGCAUCUGUUGGAGCUAGGUGGGUCUGAAAUCUAGUGGCAAGUAUUUGAAUUCAGUUUUAAAUUUCAGACUUAUGUUGUAUCUGUAUGGUUGCUGAAACUGCAGCAUGCCCUUGUUCAAAGUAUGCCUGUUUUUGCUCAUGCGAGCUGCUUGUAUGUGCCUGCAUAUUUUGCAUAUGUGCUUGACAGUUUCAAAUAUAAAUAUAUAUGUGCUACUACUGAAAAUUAGAAAUUGGUAGUUCGAACACAGGUUCACUUUGUGUCAGAAAUACUGUUGUUUUGCUGCCAGUGACCAUGUUUUCUCUAUGCUAGUGAAUAUCAAAAUUCAGUUCAGGUUUCAUGAUGCAUGUUGAAUUCAGUGACCUGUUCACUGAAUUCAGUUUAGGUUUGUUCACUCAUUCAGUUCACUGAAUUGAUCUUCAUCACGCUAAGCAUGUGUCCAGUUCAGGGAACGAGGGAUCGGUAGUCACUUAUAAUUUGUAGAUAUGACCAGGUGAACACUUGUAUAUGGCCCCAUUUUAUUCAAGUUGCAUAGAUUUUGCCUCCACAUUUUUUUUAAGAACAUGUUCUGUAAACUUUUAAGCUCUACAUUCAUCUGUUUUGGAUCCUGUUUU